GUUACAAACGUCACAUCUUUGAUAUUUUAUUUUUAAAGAAUUAUUUUACCAUAUUUCCUUUAAUAUUUCAUUAAUAAUUAUCUUCUUCUAAUUGGUUUACCCAUUUUACCCUUUAAAAAUCGGUUGGCGCUCUCUUUUAUUACCUUCUUUUAUUAUCUUCUAUUUAAUAUAUCUCUUUCAUUUAAAUCAUCAUACUGAACAUACCUCGUAUAUUCAUACUCUCCAAAUAUCUGUAUUUUCAAUACGGAACAUGCCGCUACUUCAUAGUACUUGGUUGUCAUUUUAAAUGUCGUUUUCAAUGACAGUGUCACUUCAUCGACUUGACCCCCUACUCCCUGACAUACACUGGAAGGAAAAAAUUAAUCCUUAAAAAGGCAUGUAAUUCGAAAAAUAAAUCAUUUCCAUUUCAUCAAAUCAUCUCUUGGGUUUUUUGGAAAGAAACCACUUUUCUCCCUCCGGGAGUUUCAACAACCCUCAAAUCGCCGGCGAUACAACAACGAGGACCAUGUCAUCAGGGCUGCAACCACAUAACCAAGACUGCAACGACCAACAUCCGUAGGCCUGGUGGAAUACAACACCUACAACCCCACAGCCCGUUGCAGAACCAGCAGCAGUACCAUACGACGUCAAGAGGAUACCAUCAGCUACCAAAAGCCAUAAGUAUAAUCCAGAAUUGUUAGUUUUUGGCAAGAAUUUAAAUACAUUUGUUAAAGCAAUUUACUAAGUCAUUUUAUUUAUUAUAUCUUUAUGAACAAUAAACAUGAUUGGUUAAAAUAUAUUGUUUUGUUUGCUUCCAUUCCAAUUUUGUUAGUUCAUAUCUGAGGUUAGGACAAGACGAACACACACCUGAGUGACUGAGCUAAGCUAAGGGUGUGACGAUGGCUAUCUUGGUUAGUUGAGGUAAUAUUUUCGAAUAUUAUUUCAAUUAGCUGGGUAGUCUAUCGCUUUUUCGUUACACUGGCGCACCAACGCACUUGUCUUAUCCGAAGAAUCGAGCUGUGAGUGUGUGGUUUGGUAGCAGACAACAAGCAUUAAUAAAUACUAUUUUCUUAUAUUUCAUUUUUAUAUUCAAUUUUUGCAGUAAAUCUAUAUAUAUUAUCUAUUUUGGUACUUUUUGACUACCUUUUUGACUAAUUUUUAUAUAUUUUCACAUGUUAUGGGUCAAAAAGUAUUACCAGUUUCAAUAAUUUAAUUAUAUAUUUCAGCAUAAUUGAUUUAAAAUACAUUUACAGUUGCAAAUAUUGGUAUUUUUAACAUUUUGAUACUUUUUACCUACUUUUUUUGGCUAAUUUUUAUGUUAGAACCUUGAUAGUAAUGUCCACAUGGCAUUUUUUUUCUGUUUUUUCAAUUUAACCAGUUUUUUUUGGUAGUUCUUCUUUAAUUACUCUUAUUUUAUUGUAACUUUCCAAAACCCAAGAGAAUUUUUCCAUUUAUCGUCAUAUUUUCUGUACUUUUUAUACGUACUAUUUCUUCUGCGUUCUUUUCAUAGGUACUUCUGUGUACUCUAAAGUGCAUUUAAAUCUUGUUUUAUUACUUAUUUUCAAUUACUUUUUACUUAUUCUUAUAUUUCCUAGUUGUUUUCAUAUAUUUAUUACCAAUUUUGUACAACUACCAAAAAUUUUGUUGUUUCCGUCGAACUUUCUGUUCGGAUGGUAUAUACUACUUUACUUGUAUAGUAAAGACUAGGACAAUUUUCAAGUUCUUUUCUUUCAUUAAGGUAUUUUAUUCUUAUUCUUCUUCUUUACGUAUUCAGAAUAUUAAUUUAAAUCAUUCUUCUUCUUCUUCUUGUGUUGGAUCUCAAAAAAAUUUUUGUUCGUAAAGCAUGAUAUUUUACAUUUUUCAAUUUUUUGCAUUAGUGCACUUAUAUUAAUUAUGAUAAACAUCAUAUUUAACAUCUUUUUUAUUUAACAAUGCCCUAUUUAUCUAUACAUUAUUGUUUUAUUAUUUUAUUCUGGGUGUUGUACUGAUUUUUGAUACAGAUUAGCACGAAAGCCUCAUCCGGCACUUAUAAGUUGUGUAUGGCUUAUAUAUAGCUGCAUAGACACCUAGUGUUCUUUUUUUUUCCUAGGGUACAUAUAAGUUAUCCAUAGGGUUGGGCCAGAUCUACUGAGUCUGAGUUCCGUUUUUUUGGUCUUAAUGACUGUUGAUAUACAGUUUAAUGCUGUAUAUUAUUUUUAGGAUGAUGUCUUUUAUAAAUUUUCUCUUUUGAAGUUAAAAUAAUUCUAUGCAUCUCUACUCUUCAUGAGCCUCUGGUGUAGAAUUAUGGCUCUUUGAAGUAUGAUUGUAGUUUAGCUACUAGCAUUUGUUAUUUUACAUCUUUGCAAAUCAUAUUUAUGCAUUUUUAUACAUAUAUUUUGUUCUCUAGUGUAGAUCCCUGGUAUGCAUUUGAUGGAAGUAGCAUCUGCAUUAUGUAUCAUUAUCUCUCUCUCUAUUUACUAACUUAUUGGUUAAGUCUUUUAUGACUAGUUUUAUGCAGUUUUUUCAAACCCUUUGGUGUAGAACUUUGUCUUAUUUGGCUUUCCAUAUAGUUAGUACUUAUUUUUUUUAAUGGUUUAUCUAUAGUUGCACUUGCAUUUCUUUUUAUUAUAUUAUAUUAUCUUUAUCUACUUAUAUGCUUUUACUCACCUUAUCAUAUUGAUUAUUAUAUUAUUACCUUACUUUAGGUACUUGUUAUCCGAGUACUUGUUAUUUUGUUCGAGAUUCAGUUGUUGUUAGUAGCUCCAAUAGCUAUUUAUUUAUUUUAUAUAGGAUGUGAUAUCCCUUAUAUUUACUUAAAUUUGGUUAUAUGCUUUUUUUUUAUGUAAAUACCAGAAUAUUUGCAAUGCAAUUCAUUUUUAAUAUGUCUACAUUAUUUGACUAUGGUUACUUACUUACUUUUGGAUUUUUAGUUUAAUUUGAUUAAUACUUACACUUUAUAUUAUAAGUCUUUAUAAUUUUAAAUUAAUUACAUAUUUUUUUAAAGUACAUUUAUUUUUUUCCCAGAGAUAGAUAUUCUCUGAUGUCAUUUAUUUAUAAUAAAUAAAUAUUUUAUAGUGUGAUGAAUACUACAAUUCAUUGGGUAAUAUUUUAUUUUUUUUAUUUUCCCCAGAGUAACAUCUGAAAAUAAUUUUGGUACUUUAAAAAUUUUUAUGAUUAAUAAUUUAUAUUAACUAUAUACAUUGACUUAAUGAUUACUUUAUUAUCAGUAUUUAUUUUUGAUUUGUUUUGAACGAUUACUACUGCAUAUAUUUAUUUCUGGUUAGAACUUUGAUUUCUUGUUUUCCUUGAGAAAAAUUUCUCACCUGUGUUCGAAAUUUUUCUGAUGAGUGGAGGGAGUGUGUAACAUUCCUGUUUUCUUUGAGAAAAAUUUCUCACUUGUUCAAAAUUUUUCUGAUGGGUGAGAGGAGUGUGUAACGUUACAAACGUCACAUCUUUGAUAUUUUAUUUUUAAAGAAUUAUUUUACCAUAUUUCCUUUAAUAUUUCAUUAAUAAUUAUCUACUUCUAAUUGGUUUACCCAUUUUCCCCUUUAAAAAUCGGUUGGCGCUCUCUUUUAUUACCUUCUUUUAUUAUCUUCUAUUUAAUAUAUCUCUUUCAUUUAAAUCAUCAUACUGAACAUACCUCGUAUAUUCAUACUCUCCAAAUAUCUGUAUUUUCAAUACGGAACAUGCCGCUACUUCAUAGUACUUGGUUGUCAUUUUAAAUGUCGUUUUCAAUGACAGUGUCACUUCAUCGACUUGACCCCCUACUCCCUGACAUACACUGGAAGGAAAAAAUUAAUCCUUAAAAAGGCAUGUAAUUCGAAAAAUAAAUCAUUUCCAUUUCAUCAAAUCAUCUCUUGGGGUAAGGAUAACAUUAUAUUGUGAUUAUAUUUCUCCGUCUAACAGUUUUUCUAAUUGUUUUUUAUCUAACCUAACUUCCAAUGUCAGACCAUGUGUUCUGAUAUUUUAGUUUCAAAUAUAAUUAUCUUUUAAUUUACAUGUGUGCACGUUUAGUAAUCAUAAUUUUAACUAUUCUCAUCUAAAUUUCAUUUGAUUUAUUCUUGUCAUCUGCUACCCUUUCUGACGAUUAGAACGGCAGAUGGCACACGUUGGUUUUUCUUCUUGAUGAUUGAUAUGUGUCUCUAUUUUAUAGUUUUUUGGAAAGAAACCACUUUUCUCCCUCCGGGAGUUUCAACAACCCUCAAAUCGCCGGCGAUACAACAACGAGGACCAUGUCAUCAGGGCUGCAACUACAUAACCAAGACUGCAACGACCAACAUCCGUAGGCCUGGUGGAAUACAACACCUACAACCCCAGAGCCCGUUGCAGAACCAGCAGCAGUACCAUACGACGUCAAGAGGAUACCAUCAGCUACCAAAAGCCAUAAGUAUAAUCCAGAAUUGUUAGUUUUUGGCAAGAAUUUAAAUACAUUUGUUAAUGCAAUUUACUAAGUCAUUUUAUUUAUUAUAUCUUUAUGAACAAUAAACAUGAUUGGUUAAAAUAUA
rnacentral:lncRNA from 1 species